AGUAAUAAUAAUUCAAUGCAUCAGUCUUCCUGGGAAUGUGUUGUUAUUAGCAGAUAGCAAGUCUACUGCUAAGAAAUACAAAGUGAAUAGGGGAAAAGUCUUCUAUUUCCACUCUUAUAUCCUGCAGUAUGCUAAUUGCAGGAAGAAGGCUUCUACAGUCCACCAUUAAAAGCAGUAAAGAAACUCUAUCCAUGACAUGAAACACGACACCCGGCCCAGAAUGACACCGAAUCGGACCUUCUGAAGCGCAAAGGAGAG